AACGAACGCUGGCGGUAUGCUUAACACAUGCAAGUCGAACGAAUAUGACCUAGCUUGCUAGGAAACAGUUAGUGGCGAACGGGUGAGUAACACGUGGGAAUUUACCUAGGAGUACGGAAUAACUAUUAGAAAUAGUAGCUAAUACCGUAUGGUCUCUUCGGAGUAAAGAUUUAUCGCUCCUAGAUAAGCCCGCGCUAGAUUAGCUAGUUGGUAAGGUAAUGGCUUACCAAGGCGACGAUCUAUAACUGGUCUGAGAGGAUGAUCAGUCACACUGGAACUGAGACACGGUCCAG
rnacentral:rRNA from 1 species